rnacentral:snoRNA from 1 species
GCAAUGAUGAUCUGAAAUCACAAUGAUAAAAAUGAUUUGAUAUAUCCUCUAAGAAGAUCUGAGCUG